rnacentral:rRNA from 1 species
CCGGCGCACGGGUGCGUAACACGUGUACAAUCUACCUUUUGCUAAGGGAUAGCCCGAAGAAAUUUGGAUUAAUACCUUAUAGUAUUGUUUGGUGGCAUCACUGAAUAAUUAAAGCUCUGGUGGCAAAAGAUGAGUACGCGUCCCAUUAGCUAGUUGGUGUGGUAACGGCAUACCAAGGCUACGAUGGGUAGGGGUCCUGAGAGGGAGGUCCCCCACACUGGUACUGAGACACGGACCAGACUCCUACGGGAGGCAGCAGUGAGGAAUAUUGGACAAUGGUCGGAAGACUGAUCCAGCCAUGCCGCGUGCAGGAUGACGGCCUUAUGGGUUGUAAACUGCUUUUAUACAGGAAGAAUAAGGUCUACGCGUAGAUUGAUGACGGUACCGUAUGAAUAAGCAUCGGCUAACUCCGUGCCAGCAGCCGCGGUAAUACGGAGGAUGCGAGCGUUAUCCGGAAUCAUUGGGUUUAAAGGGUCCGUAGGCGGGCUUAUAAGUCAGAGGUGAAAGCACUGAGCUCAACUGAGUAACUGCCUUUGAAACUGUAGGUCUUGAAUGUUUGUGAAGUAUCUGGAAUGUGUAGUGUAUCGGUGAAAUGCAUAUAUAUUACACAGAACACCGAUUGCGAAGGCAUGUUACUAACAAAUUAUUGACGCUGAUGGACGAAAGCGUGUGGAGCGAACAGGAUUAUAUACCCUGGUAGUCCACGCUGUAUACGAUGGAUACUAUCUGUUUGUGAGUAAUUUUGAGUGGGUAAGCGAAAGUGAUAAGUAUCUCACCUGGGGAGUACGCACGCACGUGUGAAACUCACAGGAAUUGACAGGGGGCCCGCACACGCGGUGGAGCAUGUGGGUUUAAUUCUAUGAUACGCGAGGAACCUUACCAAGGUUUAAAUGUGAAACGACGUAUCUAGAGAUAUGUAUUUCUUCGGACUUUUUUCAA